GAGACAGUGUUUCAGAAAGCCUGGGAGUUUCGUAGACAAGCAGCUUUCCACAUGAUGCCUAAAUUCGGAUUAAUACUGGUUCUGCUGCUGGCUAAGUCUCUGGCCCAGGAGGACCCACUGCCCAUUUUUAAAGUAGUAGGAGAAACAAUGGAGAUGGGCUUUUGCUUUGGAGUGGACUAUAUGACAGUGCACAAAAUAAAUGAGGGAGAAAAGCAACUGUUGUGGAACUCCUCGAACUCAGGCUCAUCUUCUGAGGCUUCCAAGAACCGGCUCAAUGCUUCCACCAGUUUCCACGGACUACUUGGAUUGAAAAUUAUGGAUCUCAACGUAUCCGAUUCAGGAGUAUACUUGAGAGAAUGCUGGCUUGAAGGAAAUGUUACUAUCAGUCAGACAAGCUACCUGUACAUGUGUGAAAAAGAGAGCCCAUCUGAAGACGUUUUCUUACAAAAUGGAGGUGCAAUGCUAGUUUGUGACAUCAGUUACUCUGAACAUGAAAGCACUAGUAUCAAAUGGUUCAGAGACGUGUAUCCUAGAUACAAAAUGUCUUUGUUUUUUGAUACCGAGAGGUCACAGGAACCAUUAGAGGAGGACCUGAACGAUGCUCUCCAAGUGCAUGAUAACGGCUUUUCACUUUACAUCUCAGAGACCGGCCUGGAGGACAACCAGAAUUUCUACUGCCUUGUUAUGAAUAAGGAUCAAUGCAAGAGCUUGAAGAAAAUACAUCUGCCAGAGAACAAUAAGCCUGAGAUGCAGCCUGUUUAUUAUGGUGUGGGAGAGAAGGCCGCUCUGUCGUGUAUACCGGAGCAUCUGCAUAAGCAGCAAAAUUACUGGACAACACCUUUUGGAAAUGUUACUCCAACUACACCACACAGCCAGAUGUAUAUAUCAAACAGUGAAGAGUCUAGAGAUCACUUACUGGUUAUACCUUCUAUCACUCUCAAUCACUCUGGGGAGUAUAUAUGUAUGUCGAACUCAGUUGUAUUAGAAUACUACAUUACUGUUUGCUCUGCACUGGUGUCAGAUAAUGUCCAGUUGUACAGUGGUAAUAAGGUUAUCCUGUCUUGUACUUUGACUCAAGAUUUGCCUGUUAACAUCCUGUGGUACAGACAUAGAGAGAUUACGGAACUCAUCUAUGACUCAGGGGAUCCUUCUAUAGACAUGCCUGUUGAUAUGAUAGGCAGAACGCAUAUUGUAGAGUCAAAUGCCUCACUUAUAAUCACUGAACUUAAUCAGAAGGACAGUGGAACAUAUUGGUGUGUAGUGCUGCUGGAGAGUGUAGGACAGGAGACUGUUGAUUCCUUAGAGGAUGAGGAGAAGGAGGAGGAGGAAGAUGACAAUAUGGAAGAUAGUUUUGAAUGGUUAGACCAGGAAGAAAAUACAGAAACGUGCAUUUUUAAGAAAGUGACACAAUUGGAGAUUCCAGUCAUUAGUAAAAGCUCCAAAACUGAGUCUGUGUCUGAGUCUAGUCCAGUUCCGUAUGCUAUAAUUGGGGGCGUGCUUGGUAUAGUGAUACUGGGGCUGAUCAUAGUUGUGGUGAAGAUGAGAGCUAAGAGAAAAACCUUGCACUCAACUAGGGCUGAGUCCACAGCACAGCAAAAGGACUCAGUUGUAUCUGCACCACUCAUGUCCUUGUAAAUGCUUGUAGCCUAGAACUUAAUAUCAUUUCUCAUAUAUCAUACUUGUCUCCUCUUUCACUUAAAUGCCUAUUCAUAUUAGCAAAAGAAAUACAGAUCUGUAAACAUAUUUACUUUUCAACAGAAGUCCUAAUGUAUCAAUAUUUACCAAGGAUAAAUGUUAAGGGCAUUCAGUGGAAAAUAAGAAAUCCUCAUUUACAUUUGUCUGUUAAUAUUUCUUCCAGUCCUGAGACACCCUUAUCACAUUCUUAAAACAAGCAAAACAAGAAACUACGCAGUGCACAAGCAGGUUUAGGACUAAAGAUAGAAAACACUCAUGCAUGUUAACUGGUAUAUUAUGAAAAGGUGAUCUGAAUUCUCAGUUUUCACUGCAGACAAUGACAAAGGAACUGGGGGAAGUUUGGCUCGGUUAUGCAGUUGUAAUCAGGCAUGGGUGUAAAAUGCGAAACAGCUCCGGGCAAAAAAGUGACAUAUCCUCAUAAGAACAGUUGGUUUGUUUC
ensembl:lncRNA